GUGUAGAGAAGAAAUUGUUGUUUUUGCCUAGUUUAGAUGAUACUGACAUAGUUGGCUGCUCGGUUGCUUUGGCCAGGGUGAUCACAGAAGUAGCUGAUGAUGUAUUUCCUGUAAAGAAUACAUAGUAAAUUCAGUUAUUCAGUCGGGUAUAGUCCCAGAUUCAUGGAGAUCCCAAAUAGUUAUUCCUAUUUUAAAACCCAAUAAACCAGCAUCA